AUGAACGCUGGCGGCGUGCCUAAUACCUGCAAGUCGAGCGAACAGACGAGGAGCUUGCUCCUCUGACGUUAGCGGCGGACGGGUGAGUAACACGUGGAUAACCUACCUAUAAGACUGGGAUAACUUCGGGAAACCGGAGCUAAUACCGGAUAAUAUAUUGAACCGCAUGGUUCAAUAGUGAAAGACGGUUUUGCUGUCACUUAUAGAUGGAUCCGCGCCGCAUUAGUUAGUUGGUAAGGUAACGGCUUACCAAGGCAACGAUGCGUAGCCGACCUGAGAGGGUGAUCGGCCACACUGGAACUGAGACACGGUCCAGACUCCUACGGGAGGCAGCAGUAGGGAAUCUUCCGCAAUGGGCGAAAGCCUGACGGAGCAACGCCGCGUGAGUGAUGAAGGUCUUCGGAUCGUAAAACUCUGUUAUUAGGGAAGAACAAAUGUGUAAGUAACUAUGCACGUCUUGACGGUACCUAAUCAGAAAGCCACGGCUAACUACGUG
rnacentral:rRNA from 1 species